AUUGAACGCUGGCGGCAGGCCUAACACAUGCAAGUCGAGCGGAUGAAGGUAGCUUGCUAUCUGAUUCAGCGGCGGACGGGUGAGUAAUGCCUAGGAAUCUGCCUGGUAGUGGGGGACAACGUUUCGAAAGGAACGCUAAUACCGCAUACGUCCUACGGGAGAAAGUGGGGGAUCUUCGGACCUCACGCUAUCAGAUGAGCCUAGGUACGAUUAGCUAGUUGGUGAGGUAGAGGCUCACCAAGGCGACGAUCGUUAACUGGUCUGAGAGGAUGAUCAGUCACACUGGAACUGAGACACGGUCCAGACUCCUACGGGAGGCAGCAGUGGGGAAUAUUGGACAAUGGGCGAAAGCCUGAUCCAGCCAUGCCGCGUGUGUGAAGAAGGUCUUCGGAUUGUAAAGCGCUUUAAGUUGGGAGGAAGGGCAGUAAGUUAAUACCUUGCUGUUUUGACGUUACCAGCAGAAUAAGCACCGGCUAACUUCGUGCCAGCAGCCGCCGUAACAC
rnacentral:rRNA from 1 species